rnacentral:tRNA from 1 species
GGCCUCGCAGCUCAGCUGGUAGAGCGUUCGCGUACACAGCGAAGGCGGCGUCCAUGCGUGGGUUCGAAUCCCACCAGGGCUA